GUUAAAUAGCUUUUGACUUUCUUUUAAAUUUUUUAAUAUUUUAUUUAAUAAUUUUUAAUUAAAAUUAACAAUAACAUUUAUUUCAAAAUAUUAUUAUAAUUAACAUUUCAUUCUCAAAAUGUUAUUAUAAUUAUUAUUCUCUUUUUAAAACUUUCAACUAAGCACAAUUUCACUCCUUACAGUAAUUAAAUUUAAACUCAUCCUUUUUUUUUUUUUUUUUU
rnacentral:misc_RNA from 1 species